rnacentral:rRNA from 1 species
UACGGGGGGGGCAAGCGUUGUUCGGAGUUACUGGGCGUAAAGGGCUCGUAGGUGGCCAACUAAGUCAGACGUGAAAUCCCUCAGCUUAACUGGGGAACUGCGUCUGAUACUGGAUGGCUUGAGUUUGGGAGAGGGAUGCGGAAUUCCAGGUGUAGCGGUGAAAUGCGUAGAUAUCUGGAGGAACACCGGUGGCGAAGGCGGCAUCCUGGACCAACACUGACACUGAUGAGCGAAAGCCAGGGGAGCAAACGGG